AUUAUGACCUGGGUUGUGCCGCUUUUCAGACUCUGCUGCGGAGAUGGCUUUUGGCGAGGGCGGCCGAAGGCGACUGGGCUGGCGAGUCUCAGAGCCCUAGGGCCCCGCCGCUCCCGUGACCCGCUUGCCCCGCGCACCUCCCACUGCCCUUUCCCCAGGAGGCUGGGGAAAGUUUUCCAAACUGCUGGGGGGGGGGGGGGGUUUCCCCCAAAGAACUCGUCAGUUUGUGCUUUGUAGGCAUUGUCUGCUGAAAACACGGGAGUUAGGAGGCUCACAUGUUAUCACUUCAGAAGAUUCUUGUUUUUCUAAGAAAUGGAUGAGACUGUGAAAUCCGUAGAUGCCGUAGUCUGAAUAAGCCUUACUUUUAAUAGCAUGAAAACAAGACGACAAGAGACAAAACUGCCUGACAGCCAGUGAGGAGAGUGCAUCUGAUCUCUGCAUUUCUAGCCAGUGAGACUGUGUGCAUGUUAACAGCACUGCCCAAGGAGGAUAAAUGGGAAACAGCGAUCCUAAAUUCAGAUAUUUUCACCAUCUACAUCUACCAGUGAUCUGAUUGUUCUUACUACUUGCUUGGCAACACAGUGAAGAUUUGGGUGCUUCCACAUGUGGUGAGAACCAGACCACUGUCUUCGACUCUUAACAUUUGUGACUCGAUGCAAAGGGGAAAUAAAGUUUGGAGUGAUUUAGCAAUUGAAUAAAAUGGUUAUUUGAGAAAAUGA